UACGAAGGGGGCUAGCGUUGCUCGGAAUCACUGGGCGUAAAGGGUGCGUAGGCGGGUCUUUAAGUCAGGGGUGAAAUCCCAAGGCUCAACCUUGGAACUGCCUUUGAUACUGGGGAUCUCGAGUCCGGAAGAGGUGAGUGGAACUGCGAGUGUAGAGGUGAAAUUCGUAGAUAUUCGCAAGAACACCAGUGGCGAAGGCGGCUCACUGGCCCGGUACUGACGCUGAGGUGCGAAAGCGUGGGGAGCAAACAGG
rnacentral:rRNA from 1 species